rnacentral:rRNA from 1 species
AGAGUUUGAUCCUGGCUCAGGACGAACGCUGGCGGUGUGCCUCACACAUGCAAGUCGAACGGGGUAGCAAUACCUAGUGGCGGACGGGUGAGUAACACGUGGGAAUCUGCCCUCAAGUGGUGAAUAACUGGCCGAAAGGCUAGCUAAUGUGCCAUACGUCGCAAGAUGAAAGUAGCAAUACGCUCGAGGAUGAGCCCGCG